AUUGAACGCUGGCGGCAUGCCUUACACAUGCAAGUCGAACGGCAGCACGGGGGCAACCUGGUGGCGAGUGGCGAAUGGGUGAGUAAUGCAUCGGAACGUGCCAUUGAGUGGGGGAUAACGUAGCGAAAGUUGCGCUAAUACCGCAUAUUCUGUGAGCAGGAAAGCAGGGGACCGCAAGGCCUUGCGCUCUUUGAGCGGCCGAUGUCAGAUUAGCUAGUUGGUGAGGUAACGGCUUACCAAGGCGACGAUCUGUAGCGGGUCUGAGAGGAUGAUCCGCCACACUGGAACUGAGACACGGUCCAGACUCCUACGGGAGGCAGCAGUGGGGAAUUUUGGACAAUGGGCGCAAGCCUGAUCCAGCCAUGCCGCGUGAGUGAAGAAGGCCUUCGGGUUGUAAAGCUCUUUCGGCCGGGAAGAAAUCGCAUGGGUUAAUACCCUGUGUGGAUGACGGUACCGGAAUAAGAAGCACCGGCUAACUACGUG
rnacentral:rRNA from 1 species